UCUUGUGGUCCAUAGUCCUCACAGUUCCUGCUCUCCCUCUGUUGUCUCUCACUGAAGAGUAGCUAGCAGAGGACACAGACACCAGGCAACUGGGCUCGCAGUGACUCAGAUCCCAUCUCCCUCUGUUCCCAUGCUCAACACCCUUAUUUCAAAAGCCUUAGACCUGGCACCCCGCUCGCUCUGACUUGAUACCGAGACUAUUGCAAUUUAAUUCCUACCUUGGUCAUUUCCAACUCCAGAACCUCUCAGCUGUCCUGUGUGGCUCUUGCAGUCAGUAUUGUCCUGACACUGCAGGAUAAUUUUUUUUUUUUUUUCCUAAUUCUAGGAUCCUCCUUUAGACCAUCUGCACGCAAAGUGGUGUGGCUUCAUUCUUUAUUGUGCAAACCCCAUACAGGCACAUUUCUGCUCCACCCCACUGGGAACCACCCUUUCCUCCCAGAAUAAGUGUAGACCAGAGCAGAGUCCCCAAACUGGGAUUUCCAGACAUGUAGCUCAUUUUAUUCCUUAAUUAAUGCAGCUUCUUUAAUCAAGCCCUUUCCAAGAAAAACUUCCUGAAUCUGUGGAGGAAACAGUGAAGCUUAUUGCAUGGCCAAGUCCUGUUUCAUCCCAACCUCCCAAAGCUGCCAGAUCCCAGUUGCCCUGGAACCCUCCUAGCCAGGAGAGGGGGCAAGCACCCUGCAGGGAUGAUUUUGCCAACCUCUGUGCUCAAGAGGUUUCCUUCUCACUCACCGUGUACUGCAGAGGACUCUGGAGCCGUAUGGGCUCCUAACCUGGUAACUCAGUUAAGACCCUGAAAUCAGGUCCGCAUUGGCCCGGUUGACAGCCAACCUGCAAAAACAGAGCUCGCGCCCUGCCCAGCUGGGUCUGGUAUAGUUCUGGCAAGCAGAGGAUGAACUGGCACUGUUCUCAGGCCUACUCCUGCUGACCAUGUCUGCAUUGCUAAUUUGGGGAACAAUUUAUCUGAUUCAAACAUGGGAGUCCCUUCUCACUCCACUGGGCUGAACCGCGAAACCUGGAGCAAAGCAGAGGCAGCCACGCCAGGCUGGGGUGGCUCAUCGCUUGCAAGAUAGUAGGUGUCACCUGGCAUCCUCCAUCCUUUCUCUCUGCCAUGGAUAUGAGAGCUUCACAUCUGUGGGAAGUGGGAGAGGAGGCAAAAAAGAUUUUCGCUGGGUUGUCCGCAGUCAUUCAGCAUUAUCUCACUUGUACUAAGGAAAGUGCUUUAAGCAGAAAACCAGCUGGUAUCAUUCCU